UUUACUUAUUAAAAGUUAAAAAGAAAUAUAUCUUCUGUUUUUUUCUCUCUUUCAGUCGUGAAAAUGAGUUUGACAUAUUAGUUGCAUUGGAUGAUAAACAAGAGGCUUCGGGAGAGUUUUAUUGGGACGAUGGAGAUUCAUUAGAUACAUACAAAAACGGAGUUUACAACCUAAAUAAAUUCACAGCUGCCAAGAACACAUUCAAUAAUACCAUUAUCAAGCAUCAGUUCCAUAGCUUGUUAAACCUAAAC